CAGCAGGCAAAAUCUUAAGGAACAAUUCUCUUCUGGAUGAGUUUUCCAAUGACUCGAUGCUGCAGUCACCAGGUCAGAGAACCUACGAUGCACUCUUAGAAGAGAAGAAGGAAAGAAGGCUUGAUUCCAUUUCUGGAGAGAUUUGCUCUUAAUCUGCUAAAGGUUAUGCUGGCUCUCUGUAGUAUCAGAAAAUUAAAAAUGAGGCUUUUAUUUUUAUUAUU